rnacentral:rRNA from 1 species
AAUCCGGUUGAUCCUGCCGGACCUGACUGCUAUCGGAUUGAUACUAAGCCAUGCGAGUCAUUGUAGUAAUACAAGGCAGACGGCUCAGUAACGCGUAGUCAACCUACCUUAUGGACGGGGAUAACCUCGGGAAACUGAGAAUAAUACCAGAUAGAACAUUAUGCCUGGAAUGGUUUAUGUUUCAAAUAAUUUAUUGCCGUAAGAUGGGACUGCGGCCUAUCAGUUUGUUGGUGAGGUAAUGGCCC